AUUUCUCUUUUAUUAUAAUUACUCAAAAUGUCUUCUUUUGGUUAUUUGACUUGUUCCUUAUCUUACUGAAACACCUCUGUCAUUGUUUUAACCGCGUUACUUUAAGAUCGGAAGCCCCUCCCUUUUAUUUCUUCUUCUGUGGUAUUGUCUUUAAAUUGUUUGCGCCCCUUAGCCCCUCCCCUUUUGACAUGUUGUCCUGCGGGAGAGGACUUGGAGCGGGCAGCCUAUAACACGGUUGUUUUGUCUGUAUUUUCGUCAGAAAUAAACCGAGAAUCAUCCGCUUGAAAGAAA